UUGAAAGCGAGUCUUCUUUAUACACAGAUGACAAGUUCACUAACUCAGUAGAAAUAAGACUUCAGAAAGAAAUAUUAAAUUUUAAUGUUUCCUCAGAGUGAUGUAAACCUAAAGACAUUUUUUUAGGAUGAAUGAAUGAGUUUAUGCUCACCGAUCUCUCAAUCUGUGGUGAAUAUUCUUUUGGAAAAACCAACAUGGUGCAAAUCUUUUGGUUUAUAAAACUAGGAUGUCUUCAUCUGCAGUACCCUAGAACUCUUUAGUGACGUUCCAAGGCCAGAGCCAAAGAGCAUCUGCAGCUUAUUCUGAGAUAAGGGAGUUUUCAGAUUACGGCAUCUGACCAAAGUACAUGGGAUCAACCACUGUCCUUUAAGAAAAGGUUGCCAAUGUUUUGCUUCAUAUGUGAAGAAGGCAUGAUUCAAGCUGAAGAAUAAAUUGGCACCCCAUUAGAUUGAGAAGCCAUAUCUUGUAGCCCAGAAUAUCUUUUAGAAAGCAAAACUGGAUUAAAAA
rnacentral:lncRNA from 1 species